CGAGUGGCGGACGGGUGAGUAAUGUCUGGGAAACUGCCCGAUGGAGGGGGAUAACUACUGGAAACGGUAGCUAAUACCGCAUAACGUCGCAAGACCAAAGAGGGGGACCUUCGGGCCUCUUGCCAUCGGAUGUGCCCAGAUGGGAUUAGCUAGUAGGUGGGGUAACGGCUCACCUAGGCGACGAUCCCUAGCUGGUCUGAGAGGAUGACCAGCCACACUGGAACUGAGACACGGUCCAG
rnacentral:rRNA from 1 species